rnacentral:rRNA from 1 species
UGGGGAAUAUUGGGCAAUGGGCGAAAGCCUUACCCAGCAACGCCGCGUGAGGGAAGAAGGUUUUCGGAUUGUAAACCUCUGUCCUGGGGGACGAAGGAAGUAACGGUACCCCGGGAGGAAGCCCCGGCUAACUACGUGCCAGCAGCCGCGGUAAUACGUAGGGGGCGAGCGUUGUCCGGAAUUAUUGGGCGUAAAGGGCGCGUAGACGGCCGAGUAAGUUAUAGGUGAAAGCCCAUCUUUCAAGGAUGGAAUUGCCUGUAAUACUGCUUGGCUUGAGUGCAGGAGAGGGAAGCGGAAUUCCUAGUGUAGCGGUGAAAUGCGUAGAUAUUAGGAGGAACACCAGUGGCGAAGGCGGCUUUCUGGACUGUAACUGACGUUGAGGCGCGAAAGCGUGGGGAGCAAACAGGAUUAGAUACC